CUUUAUUUGGCUCAGAGAGUAAAGCAUCUGCCUGCAACGCAGGAGACCUGGGUUAAAUCCCUGGGUCAGGA
rnacentral:tRNA from 1 species